UCUACUGCAAGUACAUUUUACAAGCUCCUUGAGAAGCACAGUAAUCAUCAAGAAGCACGAAGAUCCAUAAGGACCUUUUAGUGUCGAUGACGCAGUGACAAAAAAAGCAGUGGCCGAUCAUCGCAGUCGCGUCACAUCGCUUCCACCAGCAAUCAGCAACGCGGCCCAUUGUUGUAUGUUCUGUGAGCAGACAAUAAACAACAAAUAGGUCUUUCACCUCAUAUCCUUCUUCCCUUUCCCCUUUGAGAACGAGUAUCAGGACACAAGAACGACGAAGGAUGACUCGGUCACAUGAUGAUAAACAACAGGCACGAAGAACGAGAGAUGUUCCUUUCAUCUGGCGACUCUUCCACUUCCGGAACAUUGUUCCUUAACUGGGCCUCCAUGGGCGCCGAGACCGGAUCAUGGAUGCGAAGGUACCUCUUCUUGAUGGAGUACGCGUUUAUCUGUUGAUUAUUGAAGAAUGAAAUCGAUCACCGCUCCUCUCAGCACGAAGAAUUCAUGUAGGCUUACAUAACAUUCACAACAUAGACUUCUGACUAUACAUUUACUUUCUGUUGAUCUUCAACAGCUUGUCGACAUCCUCUUUCCCUUUUCCGUCCAUCCAAGCAAUGGUGGCUUCGUAUAGCCUGUCGCUCUCCCCACCCUUGGCCUCUGGCAAAUCGUGCAAGACUUUGUGACCAAUAAGGGAUUGGCAGUAACCAAGGAACCUGUAGCCGUAGGGAAUUGAUUCGAGAAGCUUGUCAUCCAGCUUGGGUAAUUGGAGAGGGUUGACGGGAAUCAUGUGAUCCUUCUCGUAGAACACCUUGUAAUCUAUACAUAUGACAUUAGUAGGCUGUC
rnacentral:sRNA from 1 species